CUAUAUGCUGCCUUUGCCGGGGAUAGACCAGGAAUGGAGUCUUAGAACUUUUAUGCCUUAUGGAUCUUCUUACUUCUGAUAACGCUACUUCCCUAAAAGUCCUUUGAUGUGGAAUUACAUGGCAUUUUAAUGGAUUGUCAAGUGUAUCAUAUGGGUGUCACUUCCUUUGAUGUGCACCAGACAUCUUUGAUGUGCACCAGGGCAAAGGAAACAAUGACAGAUUAACUCCUGAAACAGUGUUGGCAGAAUGCAAUUGCCCAGUAAGGGAAAACCCACAGCAGGUGCUCCUGAACUGUAUUCCCUACAGAUUGACUGAGACUGAAUUACUUAGAGACAAGGUCCACUCGACUGCAUUUAAUGGACUUUCAAAACACAACAGAAUUGGCAAGUACAAGGAACUUAAGCAAUUGUGCCC